AGACCAAUGUGCUCUUAUAUAAGUACAGGGUUUAGUACAGGAAUCUUGUAUGUGUACGGGUAGGGAUAGAUAAAGUAGAAAUGAAUGUUCAAUACAGCUAUGUAGUAAAAACUGUAAGAAUUGAUUUAGUCAUUUAUAUCAAGCGUUUCAUUAUAGUUGGUGGGGUAAGGUGUUUCCUGUCGGAUAUUUUCAUUUUCGUCCCAUUUGUUCGUAAACAGAUGAUAUUUGCACAACCCUAUCCUCACGAUUUUAAAAGUGCGUUGUAUUAACUGUUAAAAUCAUAAUGGGGUAAUACGAGAUGUAAUGUGCUAACGAUACACAUCUUACCCCACAGUAAUAUAGUGAGACUAUUAACAGCAAUGUUAAAAAUGUACAAGGAAUGCAGUUGUCUACAUAUAUGCCCAGAAACAGGUUUAAAGAUAUAAAGUACAGGGCAGAACUAUGAAGCAGCUCGUGUAUAAGAUGCUUGAAUAAUUUAUACCAGCAAUCAUUGACAAUAUACCCGUGUUACGUCAUACUAGAGGUUAAUUGUUUCAGCAGACGCUUGAUUUUUAUUUAUAUCGCAAGCCAAGAAUCAAAAUGAACGCAACAAAUACAUCUGAUCAGAACUUUACAUACGUGGACGGAUACAAUGACACUUUCUACUUCGUAAACCUCGCUGUUAUCUUCGCAAUAUCUAUGUGUGUGCUCGCCACCUUGCUGUUUCUUAUAUGUAGUUUAUGUCUCCGCAUGGAGGCGCUGCGACAGUACUGGAUCAAAGAUUCGAGAUGGGGUAAAGAACCUUACUUCCAAGGUGUGGACGAGAUGGACUCACCUUCCGGUAGUUCCCCGUUUGUGGAAAUUAUAUGACGUCAUCUCAUGACCCGAAUAAUAUUUACGAUGACGUCAUAGGUACUCGAGGUUGCCAUAUCAACGUAGUGCUUACGUCACAACACCACGCGUGUUUCGUUGUAAAAACUUUAAUUUGUCAGCAAAAGUUCAAUUUUUAGUUUUUUCAUAAUAGUGUAUUGUAACUUCACCUUGCAUUCUUUUCGCAUGCAAAAUUUAAACUGUUCAUUAGGUCAUAAUCAACAUUAUGACGUCAUUAUACCUUUGGUCAUCCGUUAUAAAAUUUCUAUGAGAAAACAAAGACGAAUAGAAAAUAUUUAAACCAUUAAAUGUUUUUAAAAUUUGACCGCAUUCUAAAAUUCAACCCUUUCAUCAAAAUGCAUUGUUUAAUUAUAAAGAGCGAUUCACCGUAAUUAUUACGUCACAAAUAAAGUUUUUUGUCACAA